rnacentral:rRNA from 1 species
AAAUGAAUAGACGGGGACCCGCACAAGCAGCGGAGCAUGUGGUUUAAUUCGAAGAUACGCGAAGAACCUUACCAAGGCUUGACAUCCCCUGACCGGUGUGGAAACACAUCUUUCCAGCAAUGGGCAGGGAGACAGGUGGUGCAUGGUUGUCGUCAGCUCGUGUCGUGAGAUGUUCGGUUAAGUCCGGCAACGAGCGCAACCCCUAUGAUAUGUUGCCAAUAUUAAGUUAGGAACUCAUAUCAGACUGCCGUGGACAACACGGAGGAAGGCGGGGAUGACGUCAAAUCAUCAUGCCCCUUACGUCUUGGGCAACACACGUGCUACAAUGGGCGCAACAAAGAGCAGCGAGACGGCAACGUUGAGCGAAUCUCAAAAAAGCGUUCUCAGUUCAGAUUGCGGGCUGCAACCCGCCCGCAUGAAGUAGGAGUUGCUAGUAAUCCCGAAUCAGAAUGUCGGGGUGAAUGCGUUCCCGGGUCUUGUACACACCGCCCGU